CGUCAUAGAGGGUGAGAAUCCCGUAUGUGACUGUGGAUCGAGCCCAUGUGAAGCCUCUUCGACGAGUCGAGUUGUUUGGGAAUGCAGCUCAAAAUGGGUGGUAAAUUUCAUCUAAAGCUAAAUACUGGCUGGAGACCGAUAGCGCACAAGUAGAGUGAUCGAAAGAUGAAAAGCACUUUGGAAAGAGAGUCAAAUAGUACGUGAAAUUGUUGAAAGGGAAGCGCUUGCAACCAGACCUGUCCGUAGGUGAUCAGCCGCUGUUCUCAGUGGUGCACUCGCUCUGCGAUCAGGCCAGCAUCGGUUCUGGCGGCCGGAUAAAGGCCUUGGGAAUGUAGCUCCUUUCGGGGAGUCUUAUAGCCCUCGGUGCAAUGCGGCCAGCCGGGACCGAGGACCGCGCUUCGGCUAGGAUGCUGGCGUAAUGGUUGUAAGCGACCCGUCUUGAAACACGGACCAAGGAGUCUAACAUCUACGCGAGUGUUUGGGUGUUAAACCCAUGCGCGGAAUGAAAGUGAACGGAGGUGAGAACCCUCAAGGGCGCAUCAUCGACCGAUCCAGAUGUCUUCGGAUGGAUUUGAGUAUGAGCGUAGCUGUUGGGACCCGAAAGAUGGUGAACUAUGCCUGAAUAGGGUGAAGCCAGAGGAAACUCUGGUGGAGGCUCGCAGCGGUUCUGACGUGCAAAUCGAUCGUCAAAUUUGGGUAUAGGGGCGAAAGACUAAUCGAACCAUCUAGUAGCUGGUUCCUGCCGAAGUUUCCCU
rnacentral:rRNA from 1 species